rnacentral:rRNA from 1 species
UACGAAGGGGGCUAGCGUUGCUCGGAAUUACUGGGCGUAAAGCGCACGUAGGCGGCUUUUUAAGUCGGAGGUGAAAUCCUGGAGCUCAACUCCAGAACUGCCUUCGAUACUGAAGAGCUCGAGUCCGGGAGAGGUGAGUGGAACUGGCGAGUGUAGAGGUGAAAUUCGUAGAUAUUCGCAAGAACACCAGUGGCGAAGGCGGCUCACUGGCCCGGUACUGACGCUGAGGUGCGAAAGCGUGGGGAGCAACAGG